rnacentral:rRNA from 1 species
CCUACGGGUGGCAGCAGUGAGGAAUAUUGGUCAAUGGGAGAGAUCCUGAACCAGCCAAGCCGCGUGAGGGAAGACGGCCCUAUGGGUUGUAAACCUCUUUUGUCGGAGAACAAAACCCGGGACGUGUCCCGGACUGCGUGUAUCCGAAGAAAAAGCAUCGGCUAACUCCGUGCCAGCAGCCGCGGUAAUACGGAGGAUGCGAGCGUUAUCCGGAUUUAUUGGGUUUAAAGGGUGCGUAGGCGGUCCGUUAAGUCAGCGGUAAAAUGGCGUGGCUCAACCCCGUCGAGCCGUGGAAACUGGCAGACUUGAGUUGGCGAGAAGUACGCGGAAUGCGCGGUGUAGCGGUGAAAUGCAUAGAUAUCACGCAGAACGCCGAUUGCGAAGGCAGCAUACCGGCGCCCGACUGACGCUGAGGCACGAAAGCGUGGGGAUCGAACAGGAUUAGAUACCCCAGUAGUC